CACACUCCAACACUCAGACAUCAUUUACAGAUAGUCAGGGGCACACUCCAACACUCAGACAUCAUUUACAGAUAGUCAGGGGCACACUCCAACACUCAGACAUCAUUUACAGAUAGCCAGGGGCACACUCCAACACUCAGACAUCAUUUACAGAUAGCCAGGGGUACACUACAACACUCAGACAUCAUUUACAAACAAAGCAUUUGUGUUUAGUGAGUCCUCCAGAUCAGAGGCAGUUGGGAUGACCCAGGAUGUUCUCUUGAUAAGUGUGUGAAUUUGAUAAUUUUCUUGUCCUGCUAAGCAUUGAAAAUGUAACAAGUACUUUUGGGUGUCAGGGAAGAUGUAUGGAGUAAAAAAGUACAUUAUUUUCUUCAGGACUGUAGUGAAGUAAAAGUAGAAGAUGUCAAAUAUGAAUAGUAAAGUACAUGUACCCCCAAAAAUGACUUAAGUAGUACUUUCAAGUAUUUUUUCUUAAGUACUUUAUACCACUGCGUGCAGGAUGUGUGUAUUGUGGAUGAGAGGGAGACAUCCUUGCAUGAUGUAGCCCCCUGGCUGUGUGUGUGUGUGUGUGUGUGUGUGUGUGUGUGUGUGUGUGUGUGUGUGUGUGUGUGUGUGUGUGUGUGUGUGUGUGUGUGUGUGUGUGUGUGUGUGUGUGUGUGUGUGU